CAUGGAGACCAAGUACACCAGUGAGAGUGCACCGGCAGUGAGACAGGGUGAUGGUUCGCCGAGCAGGACACAUGAAAUGCAUACUAAUUCUGGAAGGCAGACUACUAAAAAGCAAGGAAAUAUGAGGGAGAGGAGUCAGAGAGAACGACAACAAGCCAACAUGACACAUGAUGGAUAACAGGAUUGUCAGAGUGUUACAGAACAAAAUUCAAGGACUAUCAACAGACGAAAUGCGUUAUCUGUGCAAUCUGAUUGCAGAAAGGAAUCCAGCACUAGAUACUUGAGGAGCAAGAGAGGCGGAACACUGAAAAUACUGAACAAUGUCAUGCAGAACUACCUCCUACUUUUUGUGUGUGCCACUGCUGCAGGGAUAUGCCUACCGUAUGAGAAAGAGUCUGUUGUGCAAAUUCACCAACAAACUGUUUAUCUCUUGUUCCGGAAAUGAGUGAAAUUGUGUUUCAUCAGUGUUCUGCAAGUUGCCGAUACAUACAGAUGGGCUAUCUUUGGAAUACCAUCAGAGAAUGAUGAAAAUUACCGCUUUCAGCACUCUGCCCAUCAACAGUUCACUGGCGGUAUGGACGGCUUGGGAGUAGAGUGCAUUGAAUUACUCCUCGUUGCUGUGUAUGUCACAUUUGUGACAGAUAUCCCAACCAUUUAUGCCAGUACACUGGUUUUCUACCUCACCGGAGGACAGCACAUGAGUAGUAGUAAAAAGUUAACCUUUAUGCAUUACUGUAAGAAUAGCAAAUAUUUUUAACAUAGUAUGUUUUG